rnacentral:rRNA from 1 species
UACGUAGGGGGCAAGCGUUGUCCGGAUUUAUUGGGCGUAAAGAGCGUGUAGGCGGCCAUGUAGGUCCGUUGUGAAAACUCGAGGCUCAACCUCGAGACGCCGAUGGAAACCAUGUGGCUAGAGUCCGGAAGAGGAGAGUGGAAUUCCUGGUGUAGCGGUGAGAUGCGCAGAUAUCAGGAAGAACACCCGUGGCUAAGGCGGCUCUCUAGUACGGUACUGACGCUGAGACGCGAAAGCGUGGGGAGCGAACAGG